rfam:Schistosoma mansoni strain Puerto Rico chromosome 3, complete genome
AUCCAACUGACGAGUCCUGAAUAGGACGAGACGCGCGUUCUGGAU